UACGUAGGGGGCUAGCGUUGUCCGGAAUCAUUGGGCGUAAAGCGCGUGUAGGCGGUCCGGUAAGUCCGCUGUGAAAGUCGAGGGCUCAACCCUCGAAUGCCGGUGGAUACUGCCGGGCUAGAGGAUGGUAGAGGCGAGUGGAAUUCCCGGUGUAGCGGUGAAAUGCGCAGAUAUCGGGAGGAACACCAGUAGCGAAGGCGGCUCGCUGGGCCAUUCCUGACGCUGAGACGCGAAAGCUAGGGGAGCGAACAGG
rnacentral:rRNA from 1 species